ACUCCUACGGGAGGCAGCAGUGAGGAAUAUUGGACAAUGGGUGAGAGCCUGAUCCAGCCAUCCCGCGUGCAGGAAGACGGCCUUAUGGGUUGUAAACUGCUUUUAUACAGGAAUAAACCACCUUACGAGUAGGGUGUUGAAGGUACUGUAUGAAUAAGCACCGGCUAACUCCGUGCCAGCAGCCGCGGUAAU
rnacentral:rRNA from 1 species